AAAGGAUCGCGUCGCAACUUAAAAAAAAAAAAGGAUCGGAAAGAUAAUGAAGUGAGGGCCCGUGGUCGCGCGCGCACGCGCGCCUUAAGCAGAGGGCCGCAGAUGUAAACGAGCACGGCGGCGACACGGCGCUGUAAACGUGGACAAUCUCCAGGUUACUGUGCGGAGUUUCAACAGGGGGAAGAAAAGUCGAAGUUGGAAGUGGGAAGCGCCUCCGCCAAGCUCGCCGUGAUGAUAAGAGGACUACUUCCUUUAAAAAAUAAAAUAUCGUUUGUAAGCGCUUAAUUUUACAGGGGUUUUAAUAGAAUGGGCAUAUAUAGUACAAAUAACACGUACUAUUUGCCUUCAUGCUAAUGUGAUACGUCUUUCUAAAACUUUGGCGGAUCAAUGAAACGCAAUCCACUCCCAUCCCCCCAUUUUGUUUAAAACCGUCCGCUUUUAUUUUGAAAUUCCCCGCUGGUUCUAAGUGCCGCUGCGCACAGCUGUGGCGAGCAUCCACGUCCGCCGGAGGAGCCUGCGUGCUGUUCAAGAAGUAGAAACCAACGCACGCACGGGCAAAAGUUGUGACAUCCGCCGCACGGAUGAGCCGCAGUUUGCGCGGACGCGUCUCUUUCUGCGCCAGUCCAGUAACGGAACGCAGGAGCCGCGAGAAACCUGAGACAUUAACCCCUGAAGGGCCCAAUCCCGGAACUCCCACAGCCCCUAAGCACUUGAGCAGACCCCCACUCUGCAGGUUAGUGGGAGGAAACAGCCGCAGAGCAGUGCGGGAUUUCGUUUUAACAUGGGUAGAUUUUACGCACAAGGAAGCGCGUUGUUGACGCUGCUUUGUCUGACCUUUGUUUUUAUGACAGCCGCUCAUCAGCCGCCCCCCACCUCCAGACGCCCCCCCGCAGAGCUCAUGCCCGUCACCGCCGCUUAUGGACGGGCUCUGGACAGUUACGCAGCGGGGAACUGGACGGAGGCGAUUCAGUACUUGGAGGAAAGUCUGCGUUCGUGGCGCCUGCGGAAGGAGGGCGCGCGCCGCUGCGCGCUGCGCUGUAAUAAAAGCGACCACCACGAGCCGUCUGCCGCGGAGUCGAACCAGGAGCUGCGCGCGCACUGGCGCGUUCUGACCGGAGCUCGGUGCCAGAGGGAGUGCAGAGCGCAGUUCCCCGCGCUGCAGCUGCCUCCGCCCGCCACGAACGUCCUGGAGGAGUUCACCAGGAGAUCUCCCUACAGAUACCUGCACUUUGCGUAUGCCAGGCUCCGCGACCUGCAGAGGGCCGUGCCCUGCGCCCACACGUUCCUCCAGGAGAUGCUCCAGGUGAUGGAGGCGUACACGCGCGAGUACGACGUGAGCGGGUUCCUCACCGACUACGAGGAGCGUCCGUAUGAGGCCUCUUUUCUAAAGGGCGUUAAGCUCAUCGUCUCUGGCGACUACGCGGGCGGCGUGGAGCCCCUGGAGGACGCUCUGAGGCUCUACGUGCACGAGCACGAGCUGUGUCAGGCGGACCGUGUCGCCGGCCGAGGAGCUCUACACGCUUCUAGCAGGUGUGUGUGUGUGUGUGUGUGUGUGUGUGUGUUGACACUAAGGUCAACGCUGAGCGGCGGCGUCUGCCUCGCGCAGGCGUCUACGUCGACGUGUUGAGGUGCAAGCUGAGGUGCGAGGAGAACCUGAAGCCCAACGUCGGCGGCUACUUCGUGGAGAAGUUCGUGGCCACCGUUUACCACUACCUCCAGUUUGCUUAUUACAAACUGAACGACGGGCGCAGGGCGGCGCCGUGCGCGCGCAGCCACGCCCUGUUCGAACCCGAGGACCAGGUCAUGAAGCAGAACCUGCUGUAUCACGAAGCCUACGGCGCGGAGUGGGGCCUCCGGCCGGAGCACUUCGCCCCCC